GCAUUGGUGGUUCAGUGGUAGAAUUCUCCUGCCUGCCAGGGGAGGCCGGGUUCGAUUCCGGCCAAUGCA
rnacentral:tRNA from 1 species